rnacentral:snRNA from 1 species
AACCUUGCCAACCUUGGCAAUAUCGUAACCAAUGAAGGUCUCCUGAGGUGUGAUUAUUAUUAGUUGAAAACUUUUACCAAAGGCC